ACGAAUGACAAUGGAUUUGUUCUAUAGGAUCGUACCUCUGUAUCCUUGCUCACUAAGGAGACAGGACCCCAAACCUGGUGGAUGAACCAUGGCCGUGCGAUCAGAGCGUGAUUAACGGCCUUGAUCCUUCUGAUAGAUGGAUCAAACUGUAGAGGAUCGUUCUCAGCUUGGGCUCGCCAAAAUGUGAGAGUGCUUUUUUCUUUAGCACACAGGCC